rnacentral:rRNA from 1 species
AGGGCACCACCAGGAGUGGAGCCCGCGGCUUAAUUUGACUCAACACGGGGAAACUCACCCGGCCCGGACACCGUAAGGAUUGACAGAUUGAUAGCUUUUUCAUGAUUCGGUGGAUGGUGGUGCAUGGCCGUUCUUAGUUCGUGGAGCGAUUUGUCUGGUUUAUUCCGAUAACGAGCGAGACUCUAGCCUACUAAAUAGUUCGCACAUUGUCUCUGUGUGUGUGACUUCUUAGAGGGAUUUUCGGUGUUCAGCCGCACGAAAUUGAGCAAUAACAGGUCUGUGAUGCCCUUAGAUGUCCGGGGCUGCACGCGCGCUACACUGGCAAAAUCAGCGUGCUUGUCCUUCCCCGAAAGGGGUUGGUAAACCCUUGAAAAUUUGCCGUGAUUGGGAUUGGAAAUUGCAAUUAUUUUCCAUGAACGAGGAAUUCCAAGUAAGUGCGAGUCAUCAGCUCGCGUUGAUUACGUCCCUGCCCUUUGUACACACCGCCCGUCGCUGCCCGGGACUGAGCCAUUUCGAGAA